GAUGAACGCUAGCUACAGGCUUAACACAUGCAAGUCGAGGGGAAACGACAUUGGAAGCUUGCUUCCGAUAGGCGUCGACCGGCGCACGGGUGAGUAACGCGUAUCCAACCUGCCCACCACUUGGGGAUAACCUUGCGAAAGUAAGACCUAAUACCCGAUGAUAUCUCUAGAAGACAUCUGAAAGGGAUUAAAGAUUUAUCGGUGAUGGAUGGGGAUGCGUUUGAUUAGCUUGUUGGCGGGGUAACGGCCCACCAAGGCAACGAUCAGUAGGGGUUCUGAGAGGAAGGUCCCCCACAUUGGAAAUGAGACACGGUCCAAACUCCUACGGGAGGCAGCAGUGAGGAAUAUUGGUCAAUGGGCGAGAGCCUGAACCAGCCAAGUAGCGUGCAGGACGACGGCCCUAUGGGUUGUAAACUGCUUUUAUAAGGGAAUAAAGUGAGUCUCGUGAGACUUUUUGCAUGUACCUUAUGAAUAAGGACC
rnacentral:rRNA from 1 species